rnacentral:rRNA from 1 species
UACGUAGGCAGCGAGCGUUGUUCGGAGUUACUGGGCGUAAAGCGUGCGUAGGCGGUGUCUUAAGUUUGUUGUGAAAUCUCCCGGCUUAACCGGGAGGGUGCGGCGAAUACUGAGAUGCUGGAGUGCCGGAGAGGUAAGCGGAAUUCCUGGUGUAGCGGUGAAAUGCGCAGAUAUCGUAAGGAAGACCAGUGGCGAAGGCGGGUCUCUGGACAGUUCCUGACGCUGAGGCACGAAGGUCAGGGGAGCAAACGGG